rnacentral:misc_RNA from 1 species
AAAGACAUAAAUAAAUUUAUUUUUUUUAAAAUUCUCAAGUUGUUUCCCACUGCAUUGACAGGAACAUAUAAAAAGGAGUAGAAUUUAGAAAAAAGAAAAAACAAGUUUAAAAAGAAAGGAACAAAACCCUUUUGAGAUAUAGUGCCUUUUUGCUCUUUUUAUCCCUUCCAUAUUUCUCUCCACAGCAACUGCAGUGGCAGAGACAAAAGAUGCUAAUCAGUGGUCUUUGUCAUUUCCAAUUUUUUCCUUGGAAACCACCUGGUUCUUUUGAAGCUGAUUUUUCUGCAAUAGAAGAUUGAAAGAAUCCAAAGUGCUUCUUCAGUGAAGAUUUCCCCUUGAAAUGUGUUGCCGAGAAACCUUGUGAAAAUUCCAGGACAUGAUUCAUUGAAGCUUCAUUCUUGCCUACUUUCUUGCCCAACACAGGAGAACUUGCAGUAUCAUCAAGAUAUGAAUGCUGCUGGCUUCGACCAUAUUCUUUGCUCUUCUUUUUGCUUUUAUUCUUCUUGGCCAAUUGAUCAAAGCAAUCUUCAUCAUCUUGACAAUAAUGUGGAGGUCUAGAGGAUGCAUCUGAAACCAUGGACAAAUCCUCUUCUUCUUCAUCAUCUACUUUUGCAUAGUUUCCAUCAACAAACCCACCAUAGCCCUGAUACUGAUUCUUGGAAAGAGAGGAUUGAUCCAAGUACAACGUCCAACCAGAUUCACAUCCACUACUACUGCAAUGAGAAGCUGACAUAUUCAUUCCCAAUCUCCUAACCUUGAGCCCAAAACUACAAAUAAUGGGU